ACGGGAGGCAGCAGUGGGGAAUAUUGGGCAAUGGGGGAAACCCUGACCCAGCAACGCCGCGUGGAGGAAGAAGGUCUUCGGAUCGUAAACUCCUGUCCUCAAAGACGAGAAGAAGACGGUAUUUGAGGAGGAAGCCCCGGCUAACUACGUGCCAGCAGCCGCGGUAAUACGUAGGUUGCAAGCGUUGUCCGGAUUUACUGGGUGUAAAGGGCGUGUAGGCGGAGCUGCAAGUCAGAUGUGAAAUCCCGGGGCUCAACCCCGGAACUGCAUUUGAAACUGUAGCCCUUGAGUAUCGGAGAGGCAAGCGGAAUUCCUAGUGUAGCGGUGAAAUGCGUAGAUAUUAGGAGGAACACCAGUGGCGAAGGCGGCUUGCUGGACGACAACUGACGCUGAGGCGCGAAAGCGUGGGGAGCAAACAGGAUUAGAUACCCUGGUA
rnacentral:rRNA from 1 species